rnacentral:rRNA from 1 species
CACGUAGGGCGCAAGCGUUGUCCGGAAUUAUUGGGCGUAAAGCGCGCGCAGGCGGUCUGUGAAGUCUGAUGUAUAAAUCUUAGGCUCAACUUAAGGUGGCAUUGGAAACUGGCGGACUGGAGUGUAGGAGAGGGAAGUGGAAUUCCACGUGUAGCGGUGAAAUGCGUAGAGAUGUGGAGGAACACCAGUGGCGAAGGCGACUUUCUGGCCUAUAACUGACGCUGAGGCGCGAAAGCGUGGGGAGCAAACAGG